rfam:Medicago truncatula strain A17 chromosome 5, whole genome shotgun sequence.
AUAUAAGCAAAAAUUUGAUUUUUAGAUUCAUUCAUUAAAUGAACGUAUGUAGUCUUUAUUAUAGACUAUAUACGUUAUUUAAUGAAUGAAUCUAAAAAUCAAACUUUUGCUUAUAU